UAGAGCGCACCCCUGAUAAGGGUGAGGUCCCUGGUUCGAGUCCAGGAUGGCCCACCUGAAUCAAUUAAAAAUGCAAAAUUAAAAAUGAAAAUGAAAUAAAUUUUUAAUUUUUAAUUAUCAAUUUUUAAUUGUAUCUGGGGGUUUAGCUCAGUUGGUAGAGCGCCUGCUUUGCAAGCAGGAUGUCAGCGGUUCGAGUCCGCUAACCUCCACCUGUGGUGAUUGCCAUUGAUAAAAUAUAUUGAGAGUUCAGCAACAUGACAUGACUUUAGUGUCAGACUGCUGAGUUGUAUCUCAGCCAGAACCUUGAAAACUGCAUAGAAACGCGAAAUUAGCAGGCAGACACAGACAUUCUUAGUACUGAGUGCCUCGACUUAGAGUACUGAGUAAAAUCAGUGCAAAGUGAUGAGGUAAGCAGAACUAACUAUUUGUUUUUGUGAAUGCAAAUUGUGAAACACCAAAUGAAUUGAGU
rnacentral:tRNA from 1 species